rnacentral:lncRNA from 1 species
CUCCGUGGAUGAGCGGUGGUUGUGAGAGUUUGCCAAGGAAGGCCUACUCGAUCAUGGAGUGGCUAUCGCUGCAAAAGGCGACGCUAGCAACAGAGACAGCCAUCCAUUUGUGCCACCAUCAAUAACAACGUUGUAACAAGCAUGGCUCUGCACUGGUGAGUAGAACUUUCUCCAAAUCCAAUCGAACUAUUGGAUUAAGACGUUCUAAAAUUUAUUGCCUGACUGCCUCAUCUCUGUCCAUAUCUCUGUUGGGAAUUUGCAGGUUGCUGAAGCAGUAGAGUGGCUUAUGUCAUGUAGGCAACUGGUGGCUACAAGGAUCCAUACGUAAACAUGGUAUGUGAAAUUUGUGCUACACAGGAAUGGAAAUGCCAAUUUACAAAAUAUAAUAUGCAUGUUUGGUUGAUGAUUACUUGGGGUAGCCGAAUAGAACUUGGAACCAGUAUAACUUAAGUGUGGCUAUGAAAAUUUUAGAUGGAGUUGGUGGUUUGGUACCUAUUGGAGUAACAAAUUCCAGUUACCCAGUAGAAAGCAAGGUGAAUCGGAAAUCAAUUAUUAAAUCUGCUUUAUAGGCUUUGCUAAAGAGAGAAAGUGAGAGCUACUAAUAUCCUGGUUUCAUUAAAGCUUAUUAGCGUCUUGAAUCCCUGUAAAGCAGCAUUGUGCAUUGCUAUUGGAUGACGCUGUGGGUUGUGGGCGUAGAGUGGAGGUUGCAUCACAUGCUCAACGUUGUGUCAAAGGACUUGCAUGGGCCACAGGGAUGUUGUGGUGUUCAUAGUGGGCAACAUUUGUUUUCAUGUAAGUUAUGGUCGAUGUAAGAUAGGUAGUGGAUGGGCAUGUCAUAAGUUUUUUCUCCCGUUGCAACGCACGGGCAUAUUUCCUAGUAUAAUAAAG